CCUACGGGAUGCAGCAGUGGGGAAUAUUGGACAAUGGGCGAAAGCCUGAUCCAGCCAUGCCGCGUGUGUGAAGAAGGCCUUCGGGUUGUAAAGCACUUUCAGUGGGGAAGAAAGCCUUGGGGCUAAUACCCUCGAGGAAGGACAUCACCCACAGAAGAAGCACCGGCUAACUCCGUGCCAGCAGCCGCGGUAAUACGGAGGGUGCGAGCGUUAAUCGGAAUUACUGGGCGUAAAGCGCGCGUAGGCGGUCUGAUAAGCCGGUUGUGAAAGCCCCGGGCUCAACCUGGGAACGGCAUCCGGAACUGUCAGGCUAGAGUGCAGGAGAGGAAGGUAGAAUUCCCGGUGUAGCGGUGAAAUGCGUAGAGAUCGGGAGGAAUACCAGUGGCGAAGGCGGCCUUCUGGACUGACACUGACGCUGAGGUGCGAAAGCGUGGGUAGCAAACAGGAUUAGAUACCCGAGUAGUC
rnacentral:rRNA from 1 species